rnacentral:tRNA from 1 species
GGGGACUUAGUUCAGCUGGGAGGGCGUCGCGUUCGCAAUGCGAAGGUCGGGAGUUCGAUCCUCCUCGUCUCCA